UACGGAGGAUGCAAGCGUUAUCCGGAUUCAUUGGGUUUAAAGGGUGCGCAGGCGGGAAUGUAAGUCAGUGGUGAAAAACUGCCGCUUAACGGUAGUCUUGCCAAUGAUACUGCGUUUCUUGAGUAUGGUUAAGGUAGGCGGAAUGUGCAGUGUAGCGGUGAAAUGCAUAGAGAUUGCACAGAACGCCGAUUGCGAAGGCAGCUUACUGAGCCAUAACUGACGCUGAGGCACGAAAGCGUGGGUAGCGAACAGGA
rnacentral:rRNA from 1 species